rnacentral:rRNA from 1 species
UUUGAAAAGAGAGUUAAAAAGUGCGUGAAACCGUUGGAAGGGAAGCGAAUAGAGUUUGCAAUUCCGCGCUUGCUGUCGAUCUUUUCAGACGACGCUUGCACGCUUGCGAUGCGAGAUCGGUGCACUUCCGCCUGGCGAAAGUCAACGUCGGUUUGCGCGGAGUUAGAAAGCUGCGAGCAUGGUAGAUCUCUAGGCUUGCGUGCAAUUCGUGCAGACCGGUCGCAGCACGUACCUGCUGGUUGAUGUCUUCGUCUUUGAGACGGUUUACCGUCGCUUGGCGGACGGCUUUGCCUGUGCGUCGGCGUGCGGCCGCUCAAACGACGGGGGACGCAUACACCACGUGCUAAGGACGUUGACUCCUCGGCGGCUCUAUACGACCCGUCUUGAAACACGGACCAAGGAGUCUAACAUGUGCGCAAGUCUCAGAGUGAUCGAAACUCGUCGGGCAUAAUGAAAGUGAACGCAGCCUCGGCUGCAGAGAUGAGAGGCGUAGCGGCAUCAUCGACCGACCUAUUCUACUCUUAGAAAGGUUUGAGUUAGAGCGCACCUGUCGGGACCCGAAAGAUGGUGAACUAUGCCUGAAUAGGGUGAAGCCAGCGG